rnacentral:rRNA from 1 species
GACGAACGCUGGCGGCGUGCUUAACACAUGCAAGUCGAACGGAAAGGCCCUGCUUUUGUGGGGUGCUCGAGUGGCGAACGGGUGAGUAACACGUGAGUAACCUGCCCUUGACUUUGUGAUAACUUCAGGAAACUGGGGCUAAUACCGGAUAGGAGCUCCUGCUGCAUGGUGGGGGUGGGAAAGUUUCGGCGGUUGGGGAUGGACUCGCGGCUUAUCAGCUUGUUGGUGGGGUAGUGGCUGACCAAGGCUUUGACGGGUAGCCGGCCUGAGAGGGUGACCGGCCACAUUGGGACUGAGAUACGGCCCAGACUCAUACGGGAGGCAGCAGUGGGGAAUAUUGCACAAUGGGCGGAAGCCUGAUGCAGCAACGCAGCGUGCGGGAUGAAGGCCUUCGGGUUGUAAACAGCUUUCGCCUGUGACGAAGCGUGAGUGACGGUAAUGGGUAAAGAAGCACCGGCUAACUACGU